CAUGCAUGCUCACUAUUGCAAUAUCUAUUUCAUUUUUUUAUUAUACCAGUAAAUUCUCACCCCGCAAAACACCACACAGUGAACUCAGAACCAAUUGAUAUUCAUAUAAACUGCCCACCUAGAUAAGAAAAAUUGUUCUGUAAUUAUCCACCCUUUGUAAGAUACCUGCCUUACCUGUGGCUAUUUAAAGCCAUGUAGAAUCUGGAUCAUCUUUCUCUUCCUCCAUCUUCCUUCCUUCCUUCCUUCCUUCCUUCCUUCCUUCCUUCCUUCCUUUUCUCUCUGUAGCAAUAAGCUAUUUCAAAGCAAUGCAUAUCAUGCAGUUAAGUUGUGCACAGACUGUACUAUUCAACAGGUAAUGUCUAGGAAAUGCCACAUUCUGUGAUAUUUGAAGAUGACAAUGUACAAAUUACCUAUAUUAAAGCAACAUAUGGUUAACCUUGGAAAACCAGUGUAGGCAUCAAAUGGAGUAACUGAUACUUAUGUGACAAAGUGAGAACAUGAGAACUCUAGUGGGAGCAGAAAAGAAUCAGCAAAAGUACAAGUAACAGAGGGAAGAGGGGAUUGACACCGCCACAACAGUAGAAAGAAAAAUCGCCAGAGACAUCUAAGGACAGAUUUGGAGAUUUGAGGAAAGACUCCCAUAUAAUUUAUCAGAUGACAGCUACAGUCUUAAUCAUACAAGCAACAUAUAAAUGAGUAGCAAAACUAAAAGCCUGAACAAAAGGCAGGCAAAGGGAUCAAAGUUGUUCAAAUUUUUAAAAAGUAACAUGCAAGAAUAAACGGCCAGCACCCAAGAUUGUCAAGGAAAUGUAGAUUUGAGCCAUGCUGAUCUAUCAUCCCACACCUUAGGAUGGCUAACAGGAAAAAGCCAGAGCAUAAGAAGCCCUGGAGAGGAUACAGAGCAAAUGGAGACAGUGCACACUGUUGGAAGGUUGUCAAUCAGUGCUGUCAUUAUGUAAAAAAAUCUUAAUCCUUUUGAAAGCCAAAAAUAGACCUACUAUGUAAUUCAACUGGUGAGCAUACAUCUAGCAGAAAGGAGAUAUCAGUGUGUCUAAAAGACAUCUAUAUGUCUCUGUUCAUGGAAGAUCUAUCUACCACAGACAGUCCAAGGGAAAUGGCCUACAUGGCUUUUGACAUGUGCACAUGUGCACGUCAUGUAUGCACAAGCAUACACAUAACCUGAACUGUUCAACCCUAUUAAGAAGGGCUAUGCUUACAUUGGUAGCAUGGAUGACCUAAAAGUAAGUUGUGCUAAGUGAAACAGGUCAGGAAUAGGAAAACAAAGCCUGAAUUCUCUUCUCACAGAAGUGAUGACUGUACAAAGGCUCGACCAUAGAAAGACAGCACAAAGUAGUUGCUACAAGGGAUGGGAGGCUUGGAAAUCAGAGAGCUGUGUGCUAAUGGCACAUGCAUUCAGAUAUGAGGUAACAUAUCUGAUCCAUGCUCAAGAUCUGUAUCCGUGACACAGCACAAUGUUAAUGACGAUGAACUCUCUGAUUUACAUUUAUCUAGUGAGUGGGUAUUAAGUGUUCUCAUCCAGAAAGCUAAUGACAGGCACUGAUCAGAUGGGCACUUAGAUUGACUGGAGAAAUAAUUACACAAGGGAGUCGUGUAUCCAAGUAUCAUGACAAAUGCUGUCAAGAAUACCUCCAGAAAAGGGACUCCACAGGAACACCAACAAAGUCAACUAGCCUGCACCCAAGGAGGCUCUGAGAGUCUGAACCACCAACCAAAGAAUGAGCAUGGGCUGGACCUAGCCUCCACCUUCCCCCCACACACAUAGGUAGCAAUUGUGCAGCUUGGUCUUCAUGUGGGUCCUCCAAGAGCUGGAGUAGUGCCUGUCCCUGAAUCUGUUACCUGCCUGUGGAUCCCAUUCCCCUAACUGGGCUACCUUGUCUGGCCUCAGUGGGAGAGGAUGUGCAGUGACUUGAUGUGCCAGCCUGCGUUAUAUCCAGGAGCACUUCCCCCUUCUUAGAGGAGAAUGAGGGGGGGAAUCUCUGUGAGGGGAUACUGUAGGAGGGGGGGCUGAUAUUGGGAUAUAAAGUGAAUAAAUAAAUAAAAAAGAAUAUCUCCAUAAUACUGAGAAAAUACAAAGAGACAAAAGAGAAAAUCAUUGACCCACAGUGUGGAACAUCUCUCUGGAACUAGUAAAGCUUUGUGGUGCCUCCAUGGAUCCCAUGGCUGAAGCCUUUUGGUACAAGGAGCAUGGUUUUCUGCCCAAUUGCUGAUUGGCGUUGACCCAAUUCCACGAGAACUGCAACAAAUCUCUAGGAAUUUAGCAAACUUCCUUAUCUGGAGUCCCAGUUUGAGAAACCAGAGAGAGUAGCCUAAAAAUGUUUUCGUAAAAAUUGAAGCUUGAGAGAAUUGCUCGGCAAAGCCAGAAACCAUCACAGAGCCUUGAGUUCUGAUUAGGAAGAUGGUCAUUAGGAAACUUUCAUGUUCAAGAUCAGCAUGGAGGUGGCAAUGAUGCUAUUACCCUGUGGACAGAAGCUUUUCCACUCCUCAGCAGCAUCCAUUUACUCUCAACUUGGGUGAAAUUAAACUGACAAGACUACAUUCCUCUUCAUAGCUGAACAGCACGUGUCUGUGUGCAGAAGUGCACAAAGAGCAUGCGCAGGGCCCAGAGGGUGGGGGUAAGGAUGGGGGUGGCUGAUGGGCUUUAUCAGUCAGUUAAUGGACACUUAGGCUGUUUCCCAAUCCUAGUGUUUCUUGAGCUUCUGGAAGGUCUACUUUUAACUCACAAAAAAUUUAUUUUUUAAUUUUUGAGAACUCUCCAUACUUUUUUCCAUAGUGUCUGAGUUGUGUUUAGGAGAUUCCUAUCUGUACUCUGGAUGCAGAUAGAAGGCACUUUGUUAACACUUAGACUAAUCUUGGGCAUUCUGUAGAUUAUUCCUGAGUGACCAUGCAGUGAAGUACAAGGCAACCUGUGUGUGGAGUGUUGGGUUCAUCCAUCCAAAUUAAUCAUCUCCUUCUGUGAUGGGUAUUGUGAGGUAAUGUUUGUAUUUUUGGAGGAGUUUAGGGCUCAGAUUGGUAGGGAAUGUGCCCAGUGUGCUGCAGUCAUAGCUGACAAAUGACUGUGUUCCCUUGGUCUGUUGGCUUCUGCCUUGAACUGUGCACCAAGCUAUGUUACUUAACUGCUGUUGUGUAACAAAUUGCUGUAACUCUUACCAGAUAAAAGUGACAUGCUGAUGACUUCUCUCAGACACCAGAAGCUGUGCAGACAUGCUACUCGGGUCUGGAGAUAUCCCGAACGUUCACUGAAGAAGACCAGUAGCCAUUUGUGGAACUUCAGGAAGCUCUGUCUCUCAGUACCUAUGCCUGUUCACAGUCAAAAGGUGGCUUCCCCAGAAAGAAUUAGCAGAGGGAGUGGGAGGGAGAAAUGCUGGGGUAGAAAAGUGGGCAGGAAUGGAGACAGACAGAGAGACAGAGAGACAGAGGCCAAGAGAGAGUUGCAGGCUAGAGUCAAAAGUUACUGCCUUGGAGGGAGCUCACCGCUGCCCUGGUCAAGGUUUCCUUCGUCCCUACUGUGGCAUACCUGAGUUCAGAAUGUCCAGUGCUGUGGUUGUUGUUUUGUUGUUUCUUAUUAUUUCCUUUUCUUAACACAGAUACCACAGAAAAGAGAGGACUACAUAAAAUUAAUUCCGCUUGUAUCCUUCCAAGUCCUUUGCACAACUUUGGAUAUAAUAAGGGUCAGGGUAUAAUCCUUACUAGACAGGGCAAGAACUAGACACACACCUGCCUACAGAGUAAGUGCUAUUUUUUUUCUGCCCAUGGCAGGUCAUUAUCUUGCUUCUGAGCAGAAAACUCUAUGAAGAGAGAAAGUGAAGAAAUGAACCAUAAAUGUUGGAGUAAUUCCACAGUAUACAAAUAAUAAAGUCCUGCUGUUCCUUACUUGGAUCCAUACCCAAAAUUGCACUUGAUCCUUUUAAAAAUAGCAGUGGGAGACUGGAGUGUUUCUAAGACAGGAGUGUUGUCUUUGUUUUUAACAUGAGUAACUAUGGCGAUGAAACCUGUGGGGGCUGAUGCACUAGGUAUGGCGGCUAAGCAGGGAAGAGGCAGGGGCUUCCGCCUGGAGUUCUAGAAAGGGGUUUUUUAUUCAUUCAUUCUUCCAAGUCACACACAUCGAACCUUUAUCAUUAGCAUUUUGGGGUGCUAUAAAAAUAACAGAGUGCAGGCCUUGCCCUACAGAAAUGUGAUGGUAUAGAAUAGACUGCUUUCUCCAGAUGUAGCAGACCAACAUGGUCUCCAAGUUUAUUCAUUCAUAUGCCAAUUAUCCAUGUCUCAAGCACUAUGUAAGAUUCUGCUUUGGUAACAGCUGGUAGAAGCAAGGUUUGCCUUCCAGGGCCCACAGUCUGUGAGAACCAUGUCUAAAGUUGAUCAGAGUAUGAGGAGAAAGAAAUGGGUAAAAAUGGUAAGGAAAAGCCUGUCUCUACUGUUUUCAAUUUUUUCAUCUUCUUUCCUUCUCCCAUUCCCCUGUCCCCCACUUUGGGAGGUGGAAAGUCAAAAGUUACCAGAGAAAUGGAGACGGCAGUGAACACAUGGGAGGUACCUAGGAGAUUGCUCCUUGAAGUUUUUAGGGGUAAAUCCUAUUUAUGGCAAAAUGUGCAGAAUAAACUGUCUCCACUAUGGCAUCCUGUAGAGUGUCCAUCACUGUUCAUGUCAGAUCCCAGCUCAUCAAAGAAGUUCAAAGGGAUGAAAAGCUCUCCAAGUUAUUAUUGGAACUGGAGGAGUAGGAGUUUGCAACUGGACCUGGUGACUCUAAGGACCUUCACUAAACCUGCUCUGACUCUCACAGGCUGGGGUUUCUGCACUGGGAGGUGUGGUGCUUCAGGGUCUAAACAUUGGCUCUGGAGCCAAGUGUUCAGAGUAAAGUCCCCAUUCCAAGCGUUAGGCAGUCAUGUGACAUUGGACGGUGAGCCCUAGUUUCCUUAAUUAUAAAAUAGGGCUAAGAAAGCAUACCUUACUUUAUAAGGAGAGGCCAGUCAUCCCAGGGUGAAUAUAUGCAGAAAUGAGAUAAUGCGAAUGAAACUCAAUGCUAUUCCACUGCAGUGAGCUGCAGGAGAGAUAAUGAAAAUCAUUUUCUAAUAUGAGGGGAAUGCAAUUCGCUUCCACUAGCACAAUGCCUGAGGCAACCAGCACAGUGCUUCCAGGCACUGGUCUGUACCUGAGCUGUAAAGUCCCUACAAGUGCAAUAGAUGUUUUAUGGGACAGGAAACCCAAGAAACUAUAGGUUCCAAGAUUGCAGUCUCAGUGUGGCAGUGAAAAAAAGACACCUAGGGUGCUGGUGGCUUCUGCUUCAGGAAAGGUCUCUGGCCAGAACUCUUGGUGUCAGCAUGUUGUCAAAUAUUCAAGAUGGCGACAUUCAGGUGCAUUUCUAUUUAAGUGUGUCUUGAACAUUGCAAUACAUAGCUAUAAAAAUAGUCAUCUUUACUGCCUUCCUCGUUAACUACUCAUGGCUAGUUCAGUGACCCUGAGGCAGUUGUAGAAUUUCCAUAACUUGGUAUUCUCAAAGAUAUGAUACUGAUUGAAUCUCCUCAAAUACUGUUGCCACUAUAAAUUAUGUGUAGAAAAGAACAUAAUACUCAGUAAACUUUUGCUACCUCUGGCGUUGUGAUUGCUAUAUUGUUCUGCAAUCAUUCCCUCACAUGGGGUUCAACUCUACUAGAUUGAAUGGUCUAUAGAGAUAGGGCAGAAGAUGACCUAUAUGUGGGUUCACCUUGAUGUGACUAGAGCUUCCUUGAUCGAUAAUCACCAAGAUAGCUCCAAGGUAACUCCUGCCAGGCUUUCCACGUAGUUUGUUAGCAAACUAUAGAUAGAUAAAAGUCAUUAAAGUGGUGGGUAAAGCCUGGCUUCUGGGACAUGUCUGACAAUGACAUCAGCUGAAGAUGAGCUAGAUACAUUUCAGCCAGGAUGACAUCAUUUUUUCUCUAACCCAUAAGCUUGCACUUUUUAUGACCCAGAUCACAAGUACUCCAAUAGAUCUCUUUGAAAUCCCAGGUUUAUCUGUCCCUAUUUCUUCAGUCACAUGGCACCUUGGGACUAAUUCUCAUGUAUUAGAAUUGUACUUUUAUAAGAUACUUGUCACAGUAGAACACUAGUCUUCAACCCGUGGGUCAUCACCCCUGGGCAGGGUCCAAAGACACUUUCACACUUAGGGGCUGCCUAAGACCACCAAGACACUAGGAAACACAAAUAAUUCCAUUAUAUUUCACAACAUUAGCAAGAUUAUUGUUAUGAAGUAGCAACUAAAGUAAUUUUAUGGUUUAGGGUCCCCAUAACAUGAGUAACUGUAUUAAAGCGUUGCAAUAUUAGAAAAGUUGAGAGCCACUGGUGUGGCAGAUAAAGAAUCCGGGAAAGGGAAUAACACUCGAAAUGUAUAUAAGAAAUACUCAAGUUUAAAAAAAAGAAUAAAUCAACACAGAAAAGCCAUCCAGUGAUCUCAGUCUAUUAAAGUAAGAAGCAGGCAUGCCAGGGAAAUUUUCUGGAGGAAGAAAACUGGACUGAAAUACAAAGAAUUCAGAAUUGAUUGCCAGACAAGGAAGACCCAGGUUCUGCAUACCUGCAAAAAGGCAAGUUGCAGAGAGAGAGAGAGAGAGAGAGAGAGAGAGAGAGAGAGAGAGAGAGAGAGACCAGAGUAUUCAUUAGAAUCAUUACCAGAGACCAGAGACCAGAGAAUUCAUUAGAAUCAUAGAUGUGUGUAGCACAUUUGAGGUCAGAAGUCCCAUGUCAUGUAAUGUGAACUCUUGCCUCAGUGUAGAGGUUCUGAACAGACCCUGCCAGAAUCGGCUUCACAGUUCUUGCUAAAGCCGAUCAUGUAAUGUAGGGGAGGAUCCAGUGCAUUAGCAUGCUUGACAAGUGCUCUACCUUGAAGAUGUAUCCCCAGGCCUUUCCUAAUUAUUCUUGAGGAAGUAUCUUAGUCACCAAUGUUGGCCUCACGUUUGCAAUACUCCCACUUCAAUCUCUCAAGUAAGAGAGAUUGCAGCAUGUAUGUCUACUGCAUGUGCUCACACUGCAUAUGCUGCUACUGUAUGUGCUGCCAUUGCAUGUGUUGGACUGUAUGUGCUGCCACUGCAUGCACUGCCACUACAUGUGCUGCUACAGCAUGUGCUGCUAUGCAUGUGCUGCUACUUCAUAUACUGCAACUGCUUGGGCUGCCACUAUACGUGCCUUCUUCACUGUCUACUUCUUCUUUGGACAGACUUACCAUUUGUUUAAUCAAUCAAUUCUCCCUGUUGUAAAAAAACCUCUUAUUAUUUGGUGUAAAUGUAAGAUAAUGAAACAAGUACGUAAGAAGAAGCCAUUUUAAUAAUCUCUUGCUUGAUAUUUUACCUGCUGAAGUUUCAGAACAGAGAUAAUGGAUGUUAACUAAUGGCGGAAACCAGUAGAUUUCAGUGUUCAUAAAUCCCAUCUACAGCUAGGUCUUUAUCUUAAAGCAUGGAGAGAGAUCUGGAGGGAGGCAGCUCUGACAGCCUGGCAGGAAGUGUCGUCAUCAAUGUGAAACUGAGACAUGCGGGAAAGUACCUAUAUCUGGGCCACCGAGUAGGUAUUAAUUACUUUUAAAAUCACUGGGUGCUAAUGGCAAGGUUCGCAAAGCCCUAUGGUAAGCAUUCCUUUUGUUAAUCCUUCCCUAUAAAUAAACAACAACACUGGGAGAUAGGGCAACUGGAGUUUCUAAUUUGAUUGCUGGGCUGAAUCUUAAUUGUCAGACAUUCUCUGUUUUACCUCCUUUGGUAUCACAACAUUAGGGUCAGUAAAUGUCUUUAUAUACAUGGUCUUUUCUUGACUGUUUUUAGUUAGUGUGGUAUAAAUUGGUAAUGUAAAGAAAGCAGCCCAGAGAGUAGUGCACAAUGAUAGUAGUGGAGCAUCGGUGAUGGUAUGGAGCUCCAAUGAUGGUUGUGGUCAUGGAGCACAAGUGGUUGCAUGGAGCACCAGUGAUAAUACUGGAGCACUAGCGGUUGCCAUGGAGCACCAAUGAUGGCAAUGGAGCACCAAUUGCGGCUACAACCGUGUAGUCAAAAGUCCAAAUUGUGAAACCAGCACAGCAACUGGCUGCUCAACAGCUGGAGGACUCAGCCAAAGGGUUCCCAGGUGUCUAUGGCAGGAAGAGGAUAGUGAAUUAGAGGAAUAACAAGAGAGGGCAGAGGGCUGAGAUAGCAGUGAUCCAGAGAAAAAAAAUUCAACCCAUCAUAGCCAGAAAAUCCCAGAGAGCUACCAAGCCUGAAGGACCAAGGGUCUCAGACACCAUAUGACAAGAGCUCCGAUUCUGGCUGCUGCUAAGGGUUGGACAAUCUCUAUACCACACAAGAGCUAGGCCAUUUGUCAAACUAAGCAUGCCAAUACCUGAGGUCUUCUUGAGGAUUAUAGUACUACAGCUGGCUGCCUGCAGCUGCUGUCAUAUACUGAAGGCUAUAAAAGUUGCCCAGGCACUUGAAGAGCUUCUCCUUGCAUACCUGUGCCUUCUAUCUGGGUAAACAAAGAAUGCUGUUAGAGCUGAUUGGCACCAGGAUGAAGGAAAACUCUUGAAAAGGUUUAGAGGAGUUUAUACCUUUGGAGCAUCUUUCUGCCUCUAUUGUGGAUUAGAAUUUACAGAAGCAGACUGGGUUUCUAGGAAUCAGGAGGGAAACUGUUAUAGCUGAGGUGACAAGGACGGAGGUCUGACUGAAGAAAAGUGUAUUGUGUUGGGAAAAGAAAAGUAAUUGGUGGACCCUUUAGAAUGUAGUGGUUAUGGUCAAUAACUGAUUGAACAAGGACCCUGAGAUGAUGGUGAUGUGAUAUAGCAGAUAAACCACAGGUAAUGUCUUCUCUUCUCUGGAUUGGACUGGCCACAUUUGCCCAGACUCCCUGACCAUUUCAACUGCUUCCAAUGGUUCAGAACACCAGGGCAUGUAAGUCACACUUUUCAACUUUGUCCUUAUUAAGGUUAUAAUUAUGGCAAAUAGACUCAAGAAAGAAAAGCCAAAUUAUGUUUUAUUCUCAAUAAUAAAUGAUGCGCAGUUGAAAACUCUUUAAAGAAAACUCAAGUGCAAGAAAAAUGACACUUCGAAAAUUCACACAGGAGGAGGUUUGUAGAGUCCAGGGACUAUCAGAUAAUCUUGCUUGUAGUUAGUAUUUCAGUGAGGUAAGAAACUUAUGAAACAAGCAAAUGUCUGAAUCUUAGAUCAUUUCUUAGUGUUUCCAGAAAAACAAUUUUCUUGGCCCCAGGUGGCUCAGCAUCAGUCAUAAACUCUUCCUUUGAGUUAUUGGUAGAGGUUGUCCAAGAGACUCCCCACAAAUUAUAAACUACUGUUAUUAGCCUCAGUUGCUCCACAGAGAUAGGGCCACAUUGCUAAAGACACCAUGCACUCAGAGAGAAAUCAUUAGCCAUCACAGUAGAAUCCCUGCCCUUUCCUGAAGGAUCAGUGGGCAUUACAUUGACUGCCGUAUCCAGGAAAUGAUUCUAGUCACCUUAGCUCCCUGCUUCAGAUGACAAUCACAGCUAUAAGCACAAGCAGGGAACAGCUAGUGAGCUAGUUCAUAUCAAGUUGUAAAUGGCUAGAAGAAGAUUAUCUAACUAGAACCAGAAAUAGCUUGUGAGUCUCAGAUCUUAGAGAUUUAAUUUGAGAUAAAGAGUGCCCUGUUUCCUUCCUAUGAGACUUAAAUGAUCAGGCCACAAGACUUUAAAGUUCCACUGAUUGGGUGAGGCUUAAUGACAAAGGACAUGAAUCAGGAUUUAGAAAAGGGGAGCUCUGUUUAGGGAGAUGGAAAAAGGUAUCUACUAAGGGCAAGAGUAAAAUAAUGAUAAGAAUGUCUGAAAAAGUAACAGGAAGUGACUAUUAAUUAUCUACCAAAAAAACUAUAAUACACGUAAGUCUGUUUAGAAAUAAAUGUAUAUGGUUCAAAUGGAAUUUUCUCCACUAGGCUAACAAUUAUCCUUCAAAGAGCCAAAGACCAUAUGAUAAAACUACCAACCACGGGAUGUGAAACCUUCCUUUGAUCUGUUGGCCAAGAGACUUUCCCCAAAUUGCAGACUUGUUAUUGCCCCCGAUAGCCCACAGAGUUAAGUCCCUAUUGACGAAGAUGCAACACAUUUCAGAUGCAUGGCCUCAAGUGUCCUGAGUUUCUCCCUCUGAGGACUCGCUUUCAUGGCAUGAGAAGGCACCAUAAAAACUUCCGAAGGAAGGAGACGAACAACAGCCCUAGCAAGCUAUGAUGUCUAUUCACCACAACAAUAGCCAGCAUGGCAUGACAACCCUACUUGUACCAGGAGUUGAUUGUAACAAAAAGUUCUUCAGUCAGAUCUAAGACCUGCCUAACAAGAGGGAAAGCAUGUCGGCUACUAGAAACCUAUCCAAUUAGGGUGAAUGAAGUCAUGGAUCCUGGAGAAGAACCUACAACUACUUUACUAAACCAGCAUAACCCCUAACUACAUGCUGUACAUGUGUACAAGCAUGUGUCCUUGUAUCCACAGAUAAAUGUAGUACUCAUCCUUCAAUAAGAAAACUGUUUACAACGUAUGGAAGCCAGUACAAAAACCCUACAGCCAAUCAAACAGCAGAUUUGUGGAAUUCAGUCCCAAUGGCUAGAUUUAGCUGCAAAAUAAUCUUGAACCCUAGGCUCAGGGAACAUUAUGGAAGAAGGGGGAGAAAGAUUAAAAGACCCAGAGGAUCAUGAAGUUUUCUGUGAGAUUCUGUCUUCUAGUACCAUCAGAAGCUACAUCCAUAAAAUCUCAUCAAUGUCACUGUCUAAACAUGAUCCGGACAAAAACAAUAGUAGAGAUACUAAACUGAAAGAGGGAAGGCACCUAACCUGGACAAAGUUGGUGCCUAAGAAAAGCUAGCAGCAUGAAGAAUCGUUUCCCCCAGGGAAAGCACACACAUUGGUUAUGGAAUACCAAAUGGGCAGCUUUGAAAAUAUAGACAGAAGUAACAUACAGAGUGAGCAGAUUAUAUUUGGGAAUAUAUAUAUAUUUAUGUAUAUGUAUAUAUUUAUGUAUAUGUAUAUGGGAAAUAUAUGGGAGGGUUUAGAGGGAGGGCUAGGAAAGGAGAAAAUGGUGCAAUUAUAAUCUCAAAAGAGUUUUCAAAAAGUGAAGAAAAGAAAGAGUAUACCCAAGUGACAGUGGCAGAGAAUGUUAACAUUCAGCAGUGAAACCAGUGAAAGCCUGAGACUAGAGCAUUUUCCUGUUUCUAAGACUGAUAUCAUGGAUUCCUUUUAUGGUGCCUUUUAUUGAACACCAAAUAAGGAAGAGGAAGGACAAAAUGGGGUUCUUCAAACAGGUGCAUGAGGCUUUAUUGCUGAGUGGACUAAUCACACAGCCAGAUGUUCCAGCCAGAAUGUGAACUUUUUUGAGCAGGAGGAGAGAAGGGCACACAAAGGAGUGACUGUCCUUUCAGGAGUUAGAGGAGAACCAGGAGUUCUACCCCUUCAAAACCAUUUUGAAAGAGUAGUCAUGUCUCCUUCCUUCGUUCUCAGUGUGCUGAUUUCUUCCAAAUGGCUGUCACUUGACGUUGUUCCUGUUGAAACGUUUCUGCUUAAACUUUCCUAGUUGUUGAUUUCAUGUUGAACUUUAUCCACUUAAAAAGAAUGAGAACGCCUUUAAUUAGACCUAAAGAGACUUAGCUCUGAGAAGGGAGGUCAAUGGAUAUUGCAAAUUGUGACCGCUCAGAAUUCUAGAGUCAAGGAGAGCCAACAGGGCUUCGGGAAAGACGGGCUUACCUACAUUAUUUUACUGCAGUCUUCUUUGUCAGAGAUGCUAAAUAAACCAUAGGGGAUACAGGAUAUAAUCUUUACCUUGAGCAGCUCAGAAACACCUUCUUUGCCAUAGAACUUAGUGUCCUUAUUCAAAUCAGACCUCUGAUAUAUUAAAGGAACUUAGAUUUCUGUCCUCCACACACUUGGUAGCUAAAAAAAAUUCCAUCUAAAAGGAUGCUGCUAACACAGGGACUUGUUAGAAUUACCAAAACUUUUGAAAAAGUUGGCCAGGAUGUUCCCUCAAUGACCACGUAUCAAAUUUCAGUGAUAAGCCCACACUGGGAGACCAUUGUCGAGGUCCCCUCCCCCCAUACUGAGACCUUUUCAAGCCAGGUCUCAACAACAUGUCAUAAAGGUAAUAUGGAAAAACUUAAAUGCAGUGAUUUUUUUCUUAUGCGAGUGUUGAAAUUAGUGUUUCUUUUCAUUUCUACCGAGAUAGGACUUUAAAUGAGCAAUGAUGAAGUGUCCAUUAAGUGGGUUGAGGUGGUGGGGGAAUGGUCCCAAGAACAUUCCUGGUGAAAACAUUGAAUUUCCCUCAAUACCAAAGUAAACACGCAACAGACAAAGAGAGCUUAACUCCAUGCCUUUGGACUACAUGGUUGGCUUGAUCGGCUUGUGAUUCUGCCUGAGAAGGGGGUCUGCCAAGCUGCCUUUAUGCACAGCACGAUGUGUCAGCUUCAGUGGGUUAUUGAUACUCUAGAGCACACCUUCACUAGCCACUAAUUUAGUAGGUAAAAACUAAAGUGUCUACUUGUGUCUGAAACUGUACAAGACACAGUUAGUUUGCAAACAGUAGGAAGGAUCUCCGAAAGCCAUCGAUUUGUGUAUCUGUGUCAAAUACUGAAAAAAAAAGAGGGUGAGUUGAAACAUUAGACAUUUUUGGACAUUCACCAAAAUCAAAAGUUUGUGCAUUAGAAUGAAGAGAAGAGAAUCAUAUCACAUUGUGGACAUUAUCUGUGUAUAGACUGAUGGUAUGACUACUCCAUGUUACGUUUAAGGUGAAAAUUUUUAUUUUAGAUGUGAGAAUAGCCAGAGUGUGUAUGUGUGUGUGUGUGUGGGGGUGUCACUUAUUGAGAAUAGCAGGGUUAUAAAGAGAAUGUGUGAAUAGGAAGCCUGUAAGCUAGAAGGAGUUUAGGGUAAGGGAGGAAAUAAUAAGGGAUGACGGGGUGCUAGCUUGGACUUUGAAAUGUAUACAGUUCUUGUGAUACUGACAGAGCCUGGCACCACAUUUUUCUCUUCUGCCAGCGGUAAGGAAAAUGACUUCUUUUGGUACAGGGUAACCAAUUUCACAUGGUCCUGAGGAAUGCUGGCUUUUCUCUCAUUGCUGAAAAUCCUCCAGGUUAAGCUUGUUGGACUGCCCUUUGUAGUUGGAAAAAUUAUAAAAUCCAUUGCACCUAACACUCAGAAGGGUCUCAACAAUCCAGCACUUGCUUCAGGUACUCACUGGGGUGUGUUGCCGGCACAUGAUUAGGGUCCCCCGAAGCAGCACAUAAACCACAGGGUCAAGAUGGGCAGAGUGGAGGAGGCGACAGGGAGACAGGAGGCUGUGAUUAUGACCCUCGCAUUAUGGCAUUGGGAACCUACACUGAAUACGAGAGGUGACAUGAAUAAGUCUUUGGGAAUAAUGAGCCCAGAAGGAGUCAAAAAGUACAAAAUUUCUAGGUAAAGAAUGUAUAGAGAUAUGGACUGUUGCUGGGCAAGAACCGAAGAGAUUGCUUUAAGGCACAAUGAGUUUGAAGCCGUACCAGGACAUCUAAAUGCCAAGCCCCAGCUGGCAGCUGGAGAUAAGGGGCUGGCUCCCAAAUAAAAGAAGCAAGCUUCAGUUUGGGAGUAAGGAAGAAACGCCAGGGCCAUGGUGAGAAGUGAGGGGAAUACGGAAUCCUCGGGCAUUCUCUGAAGGUAAUGAAAACCAGAGCUGGGUGAGUGGGGUGGGGGGGCUACAGCUUGAGACGCUCCCUUGCCUGCAGGAAUGCGAAUGUGACAGUCCCCGCCUUCCUUUGUCUGCAUUCCAUCUUAAAUAGUUACUCCCACAGUGCGAUUACAUUCCAGCGACUAGGCCCUCUUCCCCUUGGCUAACAGUUUCAGUGUCCUAACUCAGUUUCCCAAAGUCAGCACCAUUAAAUAUGUUACUGCAUGCUCUACUGUGGUCACUAACACCCCAGGGCUCAACUAGACCCCCAUUUCUUUGAACACCCCUUUAAACAACCUCUCUAUCCCUGAUAUAAGCCUAGUCUGUAAGAGAAGUUGACCCUCUUUGAUGAGAACUCUUCUGAGGUUUCUUCUGGAAUAAACCUGCCCAACCAUUAACCGGCUGGCGUUAAGCUGCCUCCUUGUUCUUCCUUACAGUGGAUGUACAAAUAGCUGGUGCUGGUUUUAAUGAGAUUGGAAUUUCAGUCUUCUGUUCAGAGCAUGGCCGUGUUGCAUGGCACUGCUCUAGAAAAAAACAAAGAGAUUCCACCUCAAAGGAAGUUCUUUAUGUACAUUUCCAUGUAUUGUCCAAUUAGCUCAAAUGGGAAAUUCUGCCAGGGGGAAACUGUGCAGAAAGGGAAGAUACAGUUACCCUUUAAAAUGGUGACCUUUUAUUUUAAUAUUUUAUUCAUUAUUUCUCAGGAGACAAGCUUAAACUCCUUGCUUUUUAAACUGUAUUACCGAUCCACUGAAGUCACUUUAAAAUCAUCAACACAUGUGUUCAGUACUAUAACUCUCUUCUUUGUUUUACACUUAAUAUAUUAUACUUUAUUUAUUCAAUUGUUAAAGCAGUUAUAGCUCCCUAUUAUGCCAAACUAGCAAAAAUAUAGCAAUUCAAGGGCAUUGAGCACAGACAUUGCACUUAAUGUGAUAUAAUAGGAAACUGCAGAAAAACAGGAGUUAACUGCUCAGGACCUAGAGUACCAGACUCGGUUUACCACUUCAGUAAGAUGGGCCUAACUAGAAUCAGGUUUGCCAUCUGAUAGGUUGUCUAGAAAGAUGGGAAUUAGUAAGCGGAAUAAUCAUGAGUAAGCUUCCUGAGGCACCAUCCCACAGUUAUCAUGGAAGCAAUAUGGCGGUCACCAAUGAGACCUAAGAUUAGGUGCUCAGAGGGACGGCUGCUCCUAGGGAUACUGCACGUAAAUGUUCCUGGGAUUGUUUUAGUUUGAGGAUCUGAAGGGAGGCCCUAAAAUUAGGGUUUUGCUUAUAUUGGUCGCUUGGGAUGCACUACAAAUCAAGGGGGAGGGGGCAACCAACAGGAGUCCCAGUAAACAUUCAACUAUUAUCAGUAACAAGGGCCAAGCUGCCUGAGUUCUCUGAAGGGCUGUCCAUGUAGCGGGAAAACACAUCCCUGUGCCUGACACCAACUCCUGUCCUGUCAUGAAAUAUUACCCAGUUAUAUAAGCCUCGGUAUUAUCCCAAAUUAUCUCAAGGACUUCAGGUUAAGCAUCUUACUUCUGCCUGCAGGACCUUCAGACAGGGGAUAAGAAACCAAGGGUGCUACAGAAGGCCUCUGUGAGCUUCAGAGAAGCCCAAGGGCACAGGAAAGAGUAUCCAGCUUCAAUUUGGGCCUGUGAACUCUUGGUUUUUAAUCCCAGUCUUUUCUCCAAAAAAUACUCUGUCAGCACACCACUGGCCUCUUCUAACCUCUGGACAAUUGCUACUCAAAGUCAUUUCUGAUAAUAUCAUAUGCAUCCACUAAGUAGCAUAUACAGUAGCUGGGUUAUUAAAAUCCAUGAACGACAUCCUGGGAAGUGGCUCAAAGUGCAAAGCUAAGUCCAUAAACAGGGUUGUAUUUGUUUGCAAUGCAUGUCAUCUCUGUGAAGUAUUUACAGAGUUCUGUGAUGAGAAUAAAACAUACCUAAGACAUUUGAGAGUCACAGAUUCUGGCUGGUAAGAUAAUAGACAUUUUGUUUUCCCUCUUGUUUCUUUUUAUUUCCAAAAAUUUCCAUAAAGAAUAUAUAUUACUCUAUAAUUCAAAGAGGCAAAUUUUAUUCAUUAAUUUUUUUCAAGGCAUUUGUGAGGAUAUUAGCUAAUUAUGCAAAAUAACUUCAGAAAGCACAUGACACAGAAAAUUUGCUUUGAGCUUUAAUAUUGAAAAAAGAAUGUCCUAAUAAAAGUAGUGAAAAGAGUAACUACUAGGAAAGAUAUUUGACAUUUAUGUUGUUUCAAUUCUCAUAUCAAUGUUACCUUGUAGAUAUUGGCCUUGAGAUCACCGUAGACAUUUAAAAAACUGGGAAUUAUUAGGAAAAUGUAGGCUUAUUAAAGGAAAAUGGUAGAAUAGCUUUGGUUCCUCUUAAUAAAUCAUUCAGAAUUAAGUUCAAUCUCUGGGAAAAUAAAAAAAAGAAAGAGAAAGGAAGGAAGAAAGACCACACACACACACACACACACACACACACACACACACACACACACACACACCGAGAGAGAGAGAGAGAGAGAGAGAGAGACAGAGACAGAGACAGAGACAGAGACAGAGACAGAGACAGAGACAGAGACAGAGUGGGGGGAGGUGGGAAGAAGGAACUUAGAAACUUAUAAAGAUUGGAUGUGCUUUGAAAAGCUGAUUUCAGCGGAGCAAUGGUUAAAAUGAACUCUACAAGGGUCACUUUAUCCGAUCGUGGAGAACAUCACAUGGGCCUUGGGGAUUUUAAGCACAGCUUGCAGGGACAAUUUCUCUGCAUCUCUGAAAUGCUGUUAUUUUUUGUAACAAUAAAGGAAGGCUGGAGGCAGGCAUUUUAGCCUGCAAAGUCUUCAUAGCUCAAAGAAGAGAAUGAAGGGCCGCUGAUUCUCAGACAGUCCUGUCACAGGCCAUGGGCAACAAAGGAUGGGAGACUUGCCCAUUACCGCAAGCACAGCAUGAGAAAUGCAGAGAGCUCUGCCUUACACAGAACCAUGUCACCUCAUUUUAUUUUGCUGUCAGGAAAGCCAAGGCCCUUCUCUUGUUUGUUAGUGUUGUUCGAUUGCCAAUUUCUCUUAAAGUCUUGGAACUCAAUUAAGCGAGCUUCUAAGGCUAUAGUCUGUCAGUUUUACACACUCUCUAAAAAGCUCUUCUGUUCUCUUUUUAGUGAAUUUUUUUAUUAAAAAAUAUGUAAAGAGAAAAAGGCUCUAGGGCUGUCACCAUGAAAAUCAGUGAAGGAGGGGAGGAUGAAAACAAGGGAGGGAAGAUGACAGGAGGGGAAAAGAAGGAAAGAGAGGCCAGGGAAGGUGAGGGGAGAGGAGGAAAAAUACUCAGUGACCAUGGGCCCAUGGAGGGCAGAUGCACUCUAAAGGAGGCUUCAUCCCUUAUACCUGGGCUGCUAAUGUUCAUUGUAUGUUUCUGAAUUAGGUAGUUAACUUCAUAAGAAUACCACAUGUGGUGAGGACUCAGACAUUGUUGGUCUGCUGAGGGCUGUGGUUUUUGUUAUGAUGAUGGUGGUGGUGGCUGGUUCAGUUACAAGAGGAAAAUAUUGAAACUGUGAUCAUAGGAAGAAUGUUUUUCAACCCUCUUCCCUCAAUUUGCUAAGAAUUGUUCUGAUAUUGAAUGAUAUUAGGGAAGCUAGGUAUCCUGAGCUCCAGACUUUGGUGGUGAAAUUAUGACUCUAUAUGAAGGCUAAAGAGAGAGACAUGGCCUCUUAGAGGCCAUACCUGAUUAUAUCUCUCAGAGGAGCCAUCUGGUGAACAAAGUUGCAGCCCUGGCCAGGCCUGAUAUUAUUAAGAGUAUCCUGAGCCUGCAGAUGUUAGGUGUCCAGGAGGAAGGCCCUGAACAUUUGGCCUGAUGACCGACCAUCCCACUGAAGUUGUGACCAUCAGUACUUUCCUCUGAGAAAUGUUAUUGUUGAAAUGAAGAAACCCAGCAAGAAUGGUGGAUCGGAGUAACUCUAAGGUUGUAGAACUUUGAAGGAAACCCAAGUGCCUGGCUUGGGGUGAGGUUCUGAGUCCUUUGUAUGUCCAAAAUAAGGUUGUUACACUUGUCAAGGCUGCAAGGCAGAGCGGACAUCAUUGUUGUUGCUUAGCAUCUUUCCUCCCACUUCUCACAGCCAUGCCUCUGUCCUGUGCAAGGACAGAAUGCCACACCAUGCUCAGACAGAAGUACUCUGAGGUGAGGUCCAUCAGCUAACCAUGUUUUCCUGUGGCUCAGCAACCCAGAUCAAGUCAUUCCUUUGCCAUCAGAGACUGGUUUAAUGUUAGGCAAGUGAGCUAAUUCAGGCCCAAAUGACAUAAGAAACUUUUGUUUUACUGUUAGUGCUGUAAUUUUGCUUAUUUGUUUUAGGGAAAUUUGACAGGGCUCAUUCUUAUAUUUGUAAAGAAACUGAGUGUAAAGUUGUGAAAGUCAUUUUGUCAUGUAGAGGGUUGGAUCAAUUGCAGCAUUUUUUCCCCACUGUGAAAGCAGGAGGUCUGAAGUUGAAACACAAAGGAAGAUGUUUCUUUACUUUCCUUGUAACUGUAGAAGGCUAGUUUGUCUUUGGUCAGAAAGCCGAGAACCAAACACCGAGACAGGAUUGAUGUGGAAGUGAUUCUGCAGAGUAGAGAUCACAGAAGAAACUGGAGUCUGGAAAGCAGUUGCAGGAAGAGGAGGCCACACAACAUACAGCAUACAGCAGACAGCAGACAGCAGACAGCAGACAGCAGACAGCAGACAGCAGACAGCAGACAGCAGACAGCAGACAGCAGACAGAUGGCAGACGGCAGACGGCAGACGGCAGACGGCAGACGGCAGACGGCAGACGGCAGACGGCAGACGGCAGACGGCAGACGGCAUACGGCAGACGGCAGACAGCAGACAGCAGAAGCAGACAGCAGACAGCAGACAGCAGACAGCAGACAGCAGACAGCAGACAGCAGAAGCAGACAGCAGACAGCAGACAGCAGACAGCAGACAGCAGACAGCAGACAGCAGACAGCAGACAGCAGACAGCAGACAUACACAGUGGUCAUGUGUAGACUGGAGUCAAUCUGAUCCUGGAAGGAACUUCAGUGGGUUACAGAUAACGCUUCUUUAACUUGAAACCAAGCGAACUGAGUUUACACAGCUCCAUCUGCUUCAAGCUAAUAUCUGCUUCAAAGAAACAUAAAAUUCUAGGCACAACUUUCUGGACAUGAAGGUCAGACUCUGAAAGGGUUUCAAAUAUGGGCUGUCAAGCUCAACUCAUCAGAGACCACGAAAGAAGGGCACAGACGUGACACAAGGGAUGUCAGUCAGAGGAUAAACCCUCAGAGAGCUUCCUUAGCUCCCCUGGUUGUUGCAUUAUAAAAGAAUCCUUAGCCAAUUUAGAAAGCUAAACUCAGGAUACAAAAUCAUGAUGGGCUGGUGUUUGACUGUGUUCGAGGAGUAUGUAUAUAUUGCAAGGUCUAGCUAAAUGCCAUCAGCAACUUCAAGCAUAGUACCCUCGACAGACUUCAGGAUGGGGCUCAUGACAUUGGCUUCUGCUGUGUAGUUUUGCUGGGCUCUUUCUGACACACAACAGAGCUGGUCUAGGUAUCAGUUAACUGGCUACAGAAGUAACGGAAUUUCAGUUGUGAGGCUUAGCUACAAAUGUCCCCAUAAUUCCACCUUUAAGGCUUCUGUGUGAGAAGAGCCAAGGUCUUCUUCCUAAAUCUACAAUCUCUCACGUCCACCUGGGCAUGGAUCCUUCAGCCCCAGCUCACUGCUCACAUGGUAACAGUCGACAUCAUGACUAUAAUAUCUAGCAAGAAGCAACUAUCUGGAUAGCUUGACUAUAUUAUUUUUACAUUCCUUACCUGUAAACGUUGUGACACAAAAUAAAUGCUUGUUGUUUUAAGUUUGGGGUGAUUUUUAAUGCAUUGGUAGAUAAUUAAAACUGUGGCAAACAUCCACACGUUCCAGACAUGUCAGCUUAUUUAUCUAUGCCAAUGUCCAUCACAUCUCUAUAUUAACUGUAUUGAUAUCUUUAUCUGGAUAUAACAUUUUCUAUAGAAUAAAUACACAUCCUUUUUCUUUUACUCAUUCUUUGGUGGAACACUCAGCAUGUGUCAGGAACUGUGCUGGGUCUUUGAGACACAGUGAUUGCCUCAGCCCUCAAGGUUCUUCAUGCAUAGAUUACAGAUUUUGAAAAACAAAUUCUCAGAUUCAUCUCAGGCUUUCAGUAACUGGUAAGGUCCAUAGAAAAUGGCAUAUGAACCAACAACUCCACUUUCCUGACUAUUCUCUUGUUCCUCACCAACAGGCCUCUGCAGUUCAGAGAACAACUGUCUGCCUCCUUUUAAUUAGUAGUUAAAACUUAACACCCAGAGCAAGCUUCAUAAAGGAAUUUUUAUUCAUACAUUUGACUUUUUCCUUUCCAAUCUGUAUCGAAUUGACCUUGUCUUGUUGUCUAAUUGCUCUGGCUUGGAAUUUGAGUACUAUAUAACCAAUAGGUAGAAAGAGAAUGGGCAGCCUUUUCUAGUCCCUGAUUUUAGUAGGAUUGCUUUAAGUUUCUCUUCAUUUAGUUGAUAUUGGCUACUGGUUUAUUCUACAUUGCUUUUACUAUAUUUAGGGAAGGACCUUGAAUUCCUGAUCUUUCCAAGACUUUUUUUCCAAGACUUUUAACAUGAACAGGUGUUGAAUUUUGUCAAAUGCUUUCUCAGCAUCUAAUGAGAUGAUCAUGUGUUUUUUUCCCUUUGAGUUUGUUUAUGUAGUGGAUCAUGUUGAUGGAUUUCUGUAUUUUGAAACAUCCCUGUAUCCCUGGGAUGAAUCAUAUUUGAUCAUGACGGAUUAUUAUUUUAAGGUGAUCUUGGAUUUGCUUUACAAGAAUUUUAUGAGUAUUUUUGCAUUGAUAUUCAAAAGUAAAAUUCGUCUGAUGUUCUCUUUCUAGUAUCUUUGUGUAGUUUAGGUAUGAGCAUAAUUGUGACUUUAUAGAAGGAAUUGGGUAGUGUUCCUUCUAGGCCUGUCUUAUGGAAUAAUUUGAUGAAUAUUAGUAUUAGGUCUUGUUUGAAGGUCUGAUAGAAAUCUGUAAUAAACCCAUUUGGUCUUGGGCAUUUUUGGUUUGGGGACUUUUAAUGGCUACUUCUAUUUCUUUAGGGGUUAUGGGAUAGUUUAGAUGGUUUAUCUGAUUCUGAUUUAACUUUGGUGCCUGGUAUCUAUCUAUUGGCAUUUCCUCCAGAUUUUCCAAUUUGUUGAGUAUAUGCUUUUGUAGCAAUAGAUGAUGAUUUUUUUAAAUUUUCUCAUAUUUUGUUGUUAUGUCUGCCUUUUCAUUUCUGAUUUUGUUAAUUUGGAUACACUCUUUGUGCCCUCUGUUUAGUCUGGUUAAGUGGUUAUCUAUCUUGUUGAUUUUCUCAAAGAAUCGACUCCUGGAUUUGUUGAUUAGUUGUGUAGUUCUUUUUGUUUCUACUUGGUUGUUUUCAGUCCCGAAUUUGAUUAUUUCUUGCUGUCUAGUCCUCUUUGGUGUAUUUGCUUAUUUUUGUUCUAGAGUUUUUAGGUGUGCAGUCAAGCUGCUACUGUAUGCUCUCUGCAGUUUCUUUUUGGAGGCACUCAGAGCUAUGAGUUUUCCUCUUAGCACUGCUUUCAUUGUAUCACAUAAUUUUGGGUAUUUUGUGCCUUCAUUUUCAUUAAAUUCUAAAAACUCUUUAAUUUCUUUUUCUAUUUCAUCCUUGACCAAUUAGAGUGUUGUUCAGCUUCCAUGUAUAUGUUGCCUUUCUGUUGUUUUCGUUGUUAUUGAAGACCAACCAACCUUAGUCUGUGGUGAUCAGAUAAGACGCAAGGGAUUAUUUCAAUCUUCUUGUAUUGUUGAGACUUGUUUUGUGACCAAUUAUAUGGUCAAUUUUGGAGCAGGUACCAAAGGUGCUAAGAAGAAGGUAUAUUCUUUUGUUUUAGAAUGAAGUGUUCUAUAGAUAUCUGUUAAAUCCAUUUGGUUCACAACUUCUGUUAGUUUCUCUAUGUCUCUGUUUAGUUUCUGUUUCCAUGAACUGUCCAUUGAUGAGAGUGUGAUGUUGAAGUCUCCCACUAUUAUUGUGUGAGGAGCAAUGUGUUCUUUGAGCUUUAGCAAAGUUUCUUUUAUGAGUGUGGGUGCCUUUUCAUUUGGAGUAUACAUGUUCAGAAUUGUGAGUUUAUCAUGGUAGAUUUUUCAUUUGAUGAAUAUGAAGUGUCCUGCUAUCUUUUUUUGAUAACUUUUGGUUGAUAAUUGAUCUUAUUGGAUUAUUACAAUGGUUACUUCAGCUUGUUUCUUUGGAAACCAUUUGCUUGGAUCAUUUCCUUCCAGCCUUUUACUGUGAAGCAGUGUCUGUCAUUGUCACUGAGGUACAUUUCAUGUAUGCAGCAAAAUACUGGGUCCUGUUUAUAUAUCCAGUCUCUUAGUCUGUCUUUUUAUUGGGCAAUGGAGUCCAUUUAUGUUAAGAUAUAUUAAGAAAGGAAUAGUGAUCAUGGCUUCCUGUUAUUUUUGUUGUUAGAGGUGGAAUUAUGUUUGUGUAGUUAUCUUCUUUUGGGUUAGUUGAAAGAUUACUUUCUUGCUUUUUUAGGGUGUAGUAUCCUUCCUUUUGUUGGAGUUGUCCAUUUAUUAUCCUGUGUAAGGCUGGAUUUGUUGAAAGAUAUUGUGUAAAUUUGUUUUUGUCACAGGACAUCUUUCUUUCUUCAUCUAUGGUAAUUGAGAGUUUUGCUGGGUAUAGUAGCCUGACCUGACAUUUGUCUUCUCUUAGGGUGUGUAUGACAUCUGCUCAGGAUUUCUUAGUCUUUAUAAUUUAUGUUGAGAUGUCUGUUGUAAUUCUGACAGGUCUUCACUUGACCUUUUUUCCUUACUGCUUUUAAUAGUCUUUCUUUGUUUUGUGCAUUGGUGUUUAAUUAUUAUGUGACAGGAGGAAAUUUGUUUUCUGGUCCCAUCUAUUUGGAGUGCUGCAGGCUCCUUGUAUAUUCAUGGGCAUCUCUUUCUUUAGAUCAGGGAAGUUUUCUUUUAUAAUUUUGUUGAAGAUAUUUACUGGCCCUGUACAUUGGGAAUCUUUGCUCCCUUCUUUACCUAUUUUCCUUAGCUUUGAUCCUUUCAUUGUUUCCUGGAUUUCCUGCAUGUUUUUGGUUAGGGGCUUUCUGCAUUUUGCAUUUUCUUUGACUGUAGUAUUAAUGUUUUUCAUGGUAUCUUCUGCACCUGAGAUUCUUUCUUUCAUCUCUUGUGUUCUGUUGGUGAUGCUUGCAUCUAUAACUCCUGAUCUCUUUCCUAGGUUUUCUAUCUCCAGGGUUGUCUCCAUGUAUGAUUUCCGUAUUGUUUCUAUUUCCACUUUUGAAUCCUGGAUGGUUUUGUUCAAUUCCUUCACCUGUUUGGUUGUGUUUUCCUGUAAUUCUUUAAGGGAUUUUUAUGUUUACUUUUUAAGGGUUUCUUUGUGUUUCUCUUGUAUUUUUAAUGGAGUCACUUAUUUCCUUCUUAAACUCCUGUAUCAUCUUCAUAAAAUGUGAUUUUAAAUCCAAAUCCUGCUUUUAUGUUGUGUUGGGUUAUCCAAGACUUGAUUUAGAGGGGGAACUGGGUUCUAAUGAUGCCAAGUAGCCUUGGUUUCAGUUGCUUAGGUUCUUGUCAUUGCCUCUCACCACCUGUUAUCUUUUGUGUUAUUUGGUCUUGCUGUCUCUGCCUGGAGCCUAUCUCUUCUGUGAGCAUGUGAGCAUGUGAGCCUGUGAUCUUAGGUGUGUUGGCCAUCUUGGGAGAUCAGCUCUCUCUGGUUGGAAUUUUGUUUCAGAGAACUGUGCCACAAGGCUACCUCUUGGGUACAGGUGGAGAAUUGAAAGACCCUGUCCCUAGUUGCACUGCAGUUCCUGAGUGCUGUAGCCUUCUGACAGGUUCCUCUUUGGCCAGCUAUUGGAGCAAAAGUGUCUGUCACGCCUGCGAAGUUAGGAGUGACAGCAUUAGUGGGAGACCAGCUCUCUCCAGGUGGAAUUUGAGUCCAGAGAGCUGCUCCACAGGGUUAAUUCUGGAGUGCAAAUAGAGACUGAAAAGUGAUACCUUAAGGAUUCAUUUGAGGGUCACCAAUAUGCAAGUCUUCUAAAAAAGGAAAAUUCUGUAUUUCAUCAUUUAUUUAUGUUUUGUUUAUUGUUUGCCAAGGAUGUCUUUUAGUUUUCAAUGUGUAGAUGUUUUAUAUUCUUUACCAUAUUUAUAUUUAACUAUUUUACAGCUUGGUGCUUCUCAAAAUACAUAUUGUAUUUCAAUUCAAUUAUUUCUAGUUUAGAAGAAAUAGUUUUGUGCAGCAUUGAUCUUGAUUCUCAAAGUUGCUUAAUUUAAUAUUCUUUUUAUUUUGACAGAUUGUAAAGAUCUUCUUUACAAUCUGUCCUGUCAACCUAUGGAUAAGAUGACUUUCAAUGAUCACUCCAAUCUGGGUACUCAAAAAGUUCCCUUUCUUAUUUUGAACUUAAUUUUAUAUUUGCAGGAGAGUUGUAAUGGUUAUAUUUAAUGUCCUUUCUUUUAUUUGUCACCAUUUUAAAUUAACUAUAGCUUCAUUUCUCUUGGGAGGGGCAUUUUUGCAGCCAUCUUUAGCACGUACAAUGGUAAUUCAGUAAGACCCUUCCUGCAGCCAUGCUCUUGACACCAGCUCGCUGCGCUCUGUCUGAGAACUGUUUGGCCAUGGAAGAUAUUGCGUUGUAAGUUCACAGUUCAGUGUUCUAUAGCAACCACUGCAGAUAGAUGAGAACUUUGCUGCACUGACCUCUUUCUUCCCUCCCUUGAGUCCAUUUUCAACUCCCUCAGCUAUGAUUUGUCUUUGAACUCUGGGAGAGCACGUGCACAUGCCUGUUUCCACCCUUGCAUUGCUGUUGCAAAUACAUCUCAGAUGCAGACCCUUAUCAAAAGAGCACUGGGCUCCUCUGCUUCUCCUUCUGGGAGUGCUUUUCUUCAGCUCAUAUGAGUCCAGUGUUUGAUAAUGGUCAUCUUACCUGUUUGGGCAGGUUUUUUUAAAAUUUGGUUUUUAUCUAGGAUAGUCUACUAAUUUUUAGAGUUGCCACAUUAAAGUAACCCCAACCAAGUAACAAUGGGAUUUUAUUUCCUCACAAUUCUGCAGAGCUGAGGCCAAGGUCAGGGUGCAGGCAGAGUUGGUUUCCCUGAGGCUUCUUGCCUUCUCCUUGUGUUUAUUUCUCUUGGUAAAUCACCAGUCACACUGUACUAAGGUCUGUUCUCAAGCUUCCAUUUAACUUCUUUACUCUCUCAAGGCGCCUGUCUCUAAACACAGUGGUAUUUUCAGUUAGGAGUGUGCAGGGGCUGGGUGUCAAUAGGUGACUUUUUGGGAGUGGAGGUGACACAAUUGGCCACAGUAAAUAGUUCUAUGAUAGGCUGCUGGGCCCUGCAGUAGGAGCAGUUUGGAAUAUGUGCUAUUUACCAGUCAUUUCAAGAGUAUGUUGAGACUGUCACUCACUUGAUCACCCAAAGAUUCAUAGCAGAUAGAAAUUAAAAAUGUCAUGCUUGUCUAAAGACACCAAAGCUGGAGCGGUAGGCAAGGUUCUUCAAGUGCUGUAGUUGCCAAUCAAAAGUACUUGGGCUGAACAUUGGUGUCACUGAAGGUCCUGGCUUCUCUUAGGAGGGAUUGUGUUUCUCUGUUGCACAAACCAAAGGCCUAUAGAUUAUAUUCAUAAUCAAAUAGAACAGUGAGCUGAUAUUGCUGAACUCGAACUGAUGUGUUUGUACAUUUUGCUGGUCACACCUUUUCUUAUAUCAGGUAGCAGAGAAAUACUAAAUUGCCUAUCACUCAGACACCAGGGAUAUCUUUCAGUUUUUGUUCUCAUUCAAUCUCUUACUUUGUUUAGAAAAUAUUUCUUAUCAUAAUUUAAAACUAGCAAAUUUUCUGAUUUUCAAAGAAAGGAAAUGCCAAAUACUGCAGCAAACUAGGGAGUGCUGAGUGAAGCUUGCUGUAUGUAUGACUGUAUGGAGAAGUCUCACUGCUUUGAGAGAGGACGAUUUACUCAUCAGUCAGAUAGGAGAGUUCAUUUGCUGUCAAGGGAAGUGGUUAGCUUUUGUUUAAUGUUUUCCUGAGUGGCCAUUUAUCAAAGACAACUAAUGAUCAUUGCAAAUAUAUUAUGACAAAAUGUUUCCCAUUUUAAAUAAUAAAUUAGGGUAACACUUGGUAUCAAGGCUUCAAAAUUAUAUCUGAUGACAUGAGUCUUCUGGGUGGAACAAAUGGUCAAUAUGUAUCACAAAAUAUUUUACUAUUCUUAUGCCAGACCAAGGCUGUGAAGUAUGGUUUUCACACAGUGUCUUCUUAUAUCUGGACAUUAAUUGUUGAAUGAGCCUAAAGAUUUCCAUUUGAUUAAAAUUUCUUUUAUACAAUUGGCCCUAGUUUUAAAUUCACCUUUCCCAAGUAAUGUUUAAGCUGUUAUCAUUGAAAUGUUAAAAUUGUAUUCACAUUGCAAAGAAAAUAAAGAAAAAUAGUAAAGGUUCUUCCAGGCCUCAGAAUACUGAGAGCUUGUCUGCCUACACCAAGGCUGUCUGCCCAGUUCUUCUAGACUAAUAUUGAAAGUGCUUAUUGUUUGAAAGAGUAGAUUCCAAGGUGGCAACAAAGGAACUGAGAGUUUGACUGAAGGAUUCAGAGCCAAUUAGUUUAGGAAGAGAACUCUAGAAGCAAGAAUGAGGAGAGCAGAUGUGUUACCAAGGGCAACCAGAGUGUGUGUAGACACUCCAUUAUCACAUAACAGUGUAUCCUGUGGCCCUCAGUAAGUAGAUGUUUCAGUGACUUGACAAAGCCCUGUGUUGAGCAUAUUCAUGUUUGUUUUUUCUUUCUUUCUUUCUUUCUUCCUUUCUUUCUUUCUUUCUUUCUUUCUUUCUUUCUUCCUUUCUCUCUCUCUCUCUCUCUCUCUCACACACACACACACACACACACGUAUCAUGGUCUUUAACCUAUGUUUAGGAAUAAUAAAGUUAACGAUACUAAUUAGCAAUAAAAUAGAAUAGUUAAAUCAAUUUGUAUGAACAGAGUUACCUUGUGCUGUGGCAUCCUUGUUGUGAGGAUGUAAAAUGACACAUCCUGUGUAAUAACAAGAAAUGAGGUGACUACCAAAGGCAAUGUUGGGCUAUAAUGUAAAUGUCACUUGAACUCAAGCAUUGUAAAAAGAGACAAUGGAUCUGAUAACUCAACUGUCACCCAAGUAAUCAAUGAUUAAAUAAGACAUACAUCAUGAAUUCACUAGUACAAGUUCCAGACAGGAGGGGUUUAUAAUUCAUACCACUGCUAAGAGCAGCAAAAGAACUUGUGAAUUGCUUCUUCCUUGAACUUCCAAUUUAACAGGUUACCAUCAUCAUUGACCACUGGGCACAGUAACUGAAACCCUGACAAAGGAGUCAGUGUAGUCUGUUCGCCAUUUAGACCCGGAGGCUCCAUCCCUCUAGUCUACUGGAGUCUGCAUAUGGCAUGUUCCCCUAAAUAUUCUUGCAUUGGAGCUUGUCCCCUGCAUCUCACGACACGUGAGUAGAUCUGACAGUAAAGAUGGAGCCCGGCUGCUUCGUUCCCUCCUUUGCCCAUACUUGAACAUAGGCUCUUUCUGCAGGCAUUGUUGCCCCAGGACGCCAGCACCAUAUCCUUUGAGCCCUGCAGUCACAGAGAGCAUCAACCACUAAGUCUAUUUACUUUAGACGACCUCCCCCCAUACAGAGUUAAGCCUGCUACGUCAUCCUGAGAAUGAAGGAUUUCUUGAGCAGGUGAGAUGGUUCAGUGGGUAAAAGUGCUUGGUUUGCCAAACUGGAAGGCUGAGUUCAAUUCUGAGAACCUCAUAAAGAUGGAAUGAGAUUUAUUUUUCUUUAAUUGAAAUUGGUUUUUUCAUGCAGUCUAUUGUUAUUAUAUUUUCCUUUCUCCAACUCCUCAGAAUUCCUCCAUAUCGCCCCUUGCACCCGGGUCCACACCCUUUUUCUCUCAGAAAACAAGCAAGCGUCUAAGGAAUGAAAAGGAAAAAAGAAAAGAAAAGAAGGUAAUACAAAACCACACAAAUGGGAGUGCUGAGCAGGGCGAAAGAAAAGGAGCCAAAGAAAAAGCACAAAAAAAUAAUGUAUCGGCUCAGACACAAACAUUCCUACACAGAGAAGCCCCGUAAAAAACAAACGCUACCAAUCACCAAGAAAUUACGCAAGUAAAAUAGUGUAGCCAUGAAACCCUUACGCAUAAUAUAAAAGGUAUACAGAAAAAGAUCACGUCUAGCUGUAAUGUCACGUGACUCAGAAGGCUGAGGAAAGAAUGCAAGUUUGAGUUAAGCCAAGGCCACACAGCCACAGUUCAAGGCCUGCUUGGACUAUAAACAAAGACCUACAUUAGGGGUCGGAGAAUACUGUUUCUCAGACAGGAUGCUGGACUUCAACGACCACACAGUAUUGAUACAUUCAUUGUUCACACAUUUUCAAAGGCAAGCAUGCAUAUAUUUUAUUUGUUGUAGUCAUGUAAUCUACAAACUCUAAUCAGUUACUCUCUUCAACUAAGAUGACACUGUAAAAAGCUGAAAUUAGAUAUGAUACACAUUUUCCCAAUUUUUGCUUAAUUUUGUCCAAGUUGGUAUGAAAUAAAGUUCAACUGUAAAACUCUUAAAAAAAAUGCUAUAAUACAAGAUUAAAGAGAAAAGGAAAAAUGCAUUGGUACAACAUUUGAGACACAGAACCUCCAUACAUGUGUUGACAUCAUUUGUGUCAGCCAUCUACUGCUGGGCAGAGGGCCUACCCUUAAAAGCAGUUUGUUUCCCCAAUAAGACUUCGUUGAAGAAAACGAAUUUUUAUUUGAAAGUGGUUAUCAAUUAGAGAUAUCUUCUGGGUUAGGGGUGGGGUUUGUCUUGUGUCCAUUUUCCUCUCAGCUCUAGGUCAAGAACCAGCAUCAUAAAGUCAUCCCCAUCAACUUAUAAGCAGAAUGCACUUUUUGUUGAAAAUGCGGGACUCUUUUCCAAGUGUAAACUUGCUCCUGGGGAAUGCUUUCCUUCUAGGAAGGACUGAACACCUCUGAGUAAUGAUAUUCCAAUUCCGAUGAAAGACGGACAUAAACUCUAGACUCUCUAGACAUAAUGCCAUCUGGACUUGGGAUUAAUGGCCAGGAUGGUGAAGUAUUUAAAGCAUCAUUCUUAAUCCAGGGGCAGAGGCACACAUGCAAACAUAUUUACUAGACAGGUCUAGAGACUUCCUAAUGACUUACCUCAUAAGGAGUUCCGAGGUGCUACAAUAUUUGUAACCUUGUGCACAGAUAAACUUGGUGGCCACUUACAAGCUAUACCUUGAUAGUGACAAUAUUCCCAUCUUUAAAUCAGAGUAAACUCCAUCUUUUAGUAGAUGUAAUUGGCAGACAUUCAGCAGCAUAUAGUUAUAUUGUUCAAUUUACUGGAAUAUUUCCAACACAGCUGGACAGCUAUUAUCACAAGCAAUAUGGGACCACAUCCAUCACAGCAAAGGUCUUCUCAGUCUCCAUAUGAGCUAUGUCCCACAUCUCCGUCCCACAUCUCCUUCCCACGCAAACCCUCAUCUAGUCCCUGUCACUGGAGAUUUAAGACAAUUAACUAUAAUUAGACUCAUACAGUGUGCACUCUUGUUUUGUCUGGCUUUGUACAGUCAGUGCAAUUAUUUCAAGACUAAUCCAUGUUGUUAUAUGUAUCACUAGUUGAUCUGUAUUCCCCAGCUGAGCAUUUUCUGUGGUAUUAAUACACUAUAAUUUGGCCUUUCACCAGCUGGACUUCUCACAUAUUUGCUGCAGUUUCUGGAAAAAGAUUCUGCAUGCUUACAGAAGAGCCCUUAUGUAGCUCUGUGCUUUCCUGAGAGGAAAGGCUUGAGAUGGGCAUUCUGCUUUCUCCGUGUUCUGAUUUCCAGAAGCCAUCAGAAUGCUUCCAGUGUCACUACUCAUUCUGCAUCCCCUUCAAUGGCAUGAGAGCUCUAGGGCUCAGUUGCUGCUACCUCCCAGUCAGGGCAUGAUUUCCCCUUCAGAGAACCAAUUGGGUUCCCAUUGUGAUCUAACUUUGCAUUUCUCUGAGGACUAAGGAUGUUCAGUGUGGUUUCUCAUGGAUUGUUUUCCAUUUGUAUAUCUAUGUGGUGAAGCACUUGAUCUUCUUCCUUUCUUUCUUUUUUCCUUCUUUCCUUCCUUUGUUUCUUCCUUCCUCCCUUCCUUCUUUCCUUCCUUUCUUUUUUCUUUCUCUUUUCUUUAUUGAGAAUAUCAUAUAUGAAAUGCAGCUCCUUUAACCUUUCUCUCCCCCUCUCCAACUUCUUGUGUGUAUUUUCCACUCCCCACCCUAGUGUUAUGACCUAUUAUUCUUUAAUUAUUAUUCACACACACAAUCACAAUCAUACAAUCACACAGACAAAUCUCAAAUAUAUAUGCAUACACACAUGCAUAUAUAUAUGUGUGUGAAUUUAUGUGUAUGUAUAUAUGUAUAUAUACACAUAUAUAUAUAUGUGUGUGUGUGUGUAUAUACAAUUCAUUACUAUUAGACUGAUUUUUCUCUCUCAGCGCUAUCUGUCUGUUACUCUUCAUCUGGGGUGAGGCCUUGUGAAGUUUCCCUGUGUUGACUGGUGUUAUCCUUUGCUGUCUUGUUUAAGGAAUCAUCUUGUUGCGAUUUCAUGGGUGCAGUAUUUCUGUCAUGUCUGUAAGACACUAUUUGGCAGCAGGUGACCUGGUCUUCUGGCUCCAACGAUCUUUCUGCGUCCUCCUCUGCCAUUUCCCUUGUAGGUUUUGGUUGCAUUUCAGGUGUAUUGCUUGGGGUUAGGGACUUAUUUUCUACAUUUUGAACAGUUGUGAAUUUCUGUGAAUGUCUCUGUCUUCGUUAUGGUUAUCCUUGUUAUAAUAAAGCACCAUGGCUGAAGCAACUUGGUGACUAAAGGGUUUAUUUGACUUACACUUCUACAUCACUUUUCAUCACAGAGGACAAUCAGGACAGGAACUCAAUCAGAGCAGUGAACCGGAAGCAGGAACUGAUGACGUCGAUGCUGCUUACUGGCUUGCUCUUCGUGGCUUUCUCAGCUGGCUUUCUUAUAGGACCCAGUACCACCAGCCCAGCGAGGGCCCCACCCACAAUGGGCGGGACCUCCCUCAUCAAUCACUUAUUUAAAGAUGCCCUGCAGGCUUGCUUACAGCCUGAUCUCAGGGAGGCGUUUCUUCAGUUGUGAUUCUUUGCUCUCCAAUGGGUCUGUCUAGCUUGUGUCAAGUUGACAUAACACUAGCCAGCACAGUCCAUGUUGCAAAAUGAAGAUUCUUUGAGGAAGGAUGAGAGCUACAUUUAUUAGGCUGGACAGGUGGACCAAUCUUUUCACUUUGCAGCCUGUUUUAGAUAUUGUUGAUGCAGAUUCUUUAUGAGUAUAUGAUUAGCAAAUGUUUUCUCUUCAGCUGUUUGUCCUUUCAGUCACUUAAUAGCAAACGUCAUGAAAUUCGAUGAAAGUUCAACGUAUUUAUUGUAUUCUGUAUGGAGCAUGCUUCAGGUAAGUCAGAUUUGUUAAUAUAUUCUUUUAUUUUCUCCUCUCUUGCUCUUUCCUUGUACUGUAUAGAAUAAAGCUGAGUCUCAUGUUUCAGGCCUGUAAUCUCAAUACUUGAGAGGUUGAGACAGAAGGAUUCCAAGCUGAAAGUCUACCUACAGACUACAGAAGAAUGUCCAAACUAUUCUUGGUACUUUAUUGUGAUACCAUCUCAAGAUGGAAAAUUGAAAAGUGCAGGGGAUGAAGCAAGAGUGUUUGUCUAUGUGCUAAAUCCCAGAUUAAAGAAAGAAAGAGGAUAUAAAGAUAGGAUGGCGAUGUGGGUGUUCCUGGGAGAAGUUGGGGGUAGAAAGAUAAUAUAUUCAUAAUACACUGGAUAUAUGCUUGGAACGCUCAAAGAAAAUAAAAGGUUUUUUUUAAAUACCAAAUAAAUCUACUUAAAACCACUGAGCAUGGUUUUCAGAAAUAUAUUUUAAUAAAAUAUCAAUGCUGAAAAGAUCCUGUAUAGUUUGGGAUUUUAUGUCCAAACAUAAUAAAUUAUGGAUUACCUUUGCUGUGGUGUGAGUUACUGAUUAAAGAUCUUUCAUGUUUGAAUUUGCAAUGGUUUGAUGAUCGCAUUGUGAUGAUAGUAGAGAAAAUAGGUAAUUGUGGUUGUAGGCAGAACUGACCUUGCUUUCUUUAAAUAACUGGUCCUGUGAUAUUUACCCAUGGCUCUCAGGCACUCAGCCAGAUGCUGCCGAUAAACGGUAAUCUCUGACUAACAUAAUGCAAAGACAGGCAGAUGUUUCUAGCUGUUCUGCACUCCCUGACCUAAGUCUUUUCCAUUGCGGUGAUGAACAUUUCCUGUCAGCUUAAUUUCCGUUUUUAUCUCCCUCCUGAGCGUACUGCAUCUUUAAGGAUUUUUUAUGAUGUAAGAGAGUGGGCAUUCAGCUUUGUCAAUACAGUAUAGGCUGUCAGGAAGCCACAGCUUCAUAUGGGAAGGAGACCCUCACCCAAAGUGGAUCAGGAAUCAGUGGAGGAUUGCUUUCUUCUCAUGGUCAUGAACACUUCUGAGCCACAUUGGAAGAAUCAGGUCUCAGUGCCCACAGCACAUGCUCAGACACAUACCCUCAGGAGGCCUUCCUGCUUCCUUGUUUCAUUACCCCAUGUCCCUCCUGGCUGCUUUCUGUGAUUAUGACACAAAUCGAACACCUGCACCCAAGUCCUUGUCUGGGACUUGUCUCUCAGGGGAUCUCAGAGUAAGGCACUGGUUAUUUUUAUCCUGUUAGAGGCAAUUAAAUUUUACCAAGAUUUUUUUUCAAAGAGUUUUCAGACUUGUCGAACUUACACUGUAGGUUCUGGAACUUGAACAUAGAGCAGAGAUCUGCUUCUUCUGAGUCUUCAGGAUCAACCUACUUAUUCCUCAACACCCUGAUGAAGGCACUGUGAGUUUAGGAACUGGGAUCUAGAGGGCAAGGAACCAGGUUGCAUGGCUGUGUCACCUGCUGACUGUGGAAAGUAACAGAUCACUCACAGUAUCUUGUUUCCCAAUUUUGUCAUUUGAAAAAUGGGCAUAGUUCUUAUUUUUAUCUCAAAGGACCUAAUUAAUUGGUGUUUAUAAGAAAGAGCACAGUGGGUGAUGAGAUCAGUGUGUUGCUGAUACUUGUGCUGUCAUUGUUUUUCCCACCCACCUUAUACUGGAGCUCUUUCCUUGAGUGUCCAAUGUCCAAUGUAUACACAAUAAUCUAGAAAUAUUCCCAAGAGGAAGAGCAAGAAAAGCAGCUGAGAUGAUCAAUGUUGCAGCAUAAACACAUUGUUUAAAAAUUACUGCAUCUUUUAGUGAAAUUGCAAUGUGAGUACCUGGAGUCAACUAAUUUUCUGAGGUCUGAUCACUUUAGCAGCCCGAGAGACCACAAGUGAGUCCCAGUUGCCUGGCAGAGCAAACUCAUGAAGUGGGAAAUGGCAUCUCACACCCAGCUCACAGUCUCCAAAUCGGACCCUUGUUUCCUCGAUGUGUCAUUGGUUUGGCUAUCUCAGCCCUGGUAUUUGCAUUCAUGCGAAGACAACAGAACUGAGUAGUUCUGAUCAAGAUCAAAGGAUCCACGAAUCCUAACUGUGUGGCUGAAGAAAGGGGAAAAACAGUAAGAGAAAAUGUCUCCGCUAGAUUGAAAAAUGGUGAACAAGACAAAUCCAUGGAGUUUAUCUCAGCAAAGAACAUUCGAGAUGAUGCUGCGACCCACCUGAAGUUCUCAGCACUCUGGAUAUCACCUACAGACUAAAUGCCAAAGGAAGCUACUGAUGGACUUUGGAAAUGGUUAAGGAAGCAAGAAGGAGCACCGAGGUAUUGAUGAAAGGCUAUGGAGAGGCACCCAGCACACUCAUAUCAAUGAAAUCUGCAAUGUCAAAAUGGAAAGAAAAGCUUACAAACUACCCAAAGGAGCAAGCAAGGUCUCAGGCCCAAAAAAGGCCAGCAGAAGCUGUAACGUCUUGCAGGCAUAGUUGUCACAUAUGCCAUCUGGCUCCCUAGCCCAUCAGUAGUGCCAUCAAUAUCCUCUGCAAACAGGAAGGACGCUGCCUGUUGACAAUGUACGUGGGUAAAGAUUUGCUCUAGACAAUGAUAAUGUUCUCCUGGCCUUAUGGAUUAUUAGCGAUAAAAACUUGCUCUGGAACCAGGAAGAAUGAGGCAAGGUUUUUGUUUGUUUGUUUUUGUUUUGUUUCCUUUUGUAAGAAAAAUUUAUUUUUAUUCUUUUUUAUUCUACUUAUUCACUUUACAUCCCACUCACUGCCCCCUGUCAGUCACCCCCCUCUCACCAUCCUUUCCCCCAUCCCCCAAACCUUCCCCUUCUCUGAGUGAGUGAGGCCUCCCUUGGUUAUCACCCUCCCUAGCACUUCAAGUCUAUGAAGCUCUAGGCACAUCCUCUUACAGUGCAGGCAGACAAGACAGCCCAGGUAGAACAUAUUCCACAUAUAGGCUACAGCUUUUGAGAUAGCCCCUGCUCCAGUUGUUCAGGAACCACAUGAGGACCAAGCCUCACAACUGCUCCAUAUGUUUGGGAAGGCCUAGGUUCAGCCUGUAUAUGUUCUUUGGAUGGUGGUUUAGUCUCUGAGAAUCCCAAGAAUUCAGAUUAGUUGACUCUAUUGGUCUUCCUGUGCAGUCCCUAUUCUCUUCAGGGAUCAUAAUUCUUCUUCCUUUUCUUCCAAAAAAUUUCCCACACUCCACCCAGUUUUUGGCUGUGGGUGUCUGACUAUCUCUUUUGUCCUCAUCUGAUUCGGAACCCCUCCCCCAUUCGCUCCCAUGCUUUCUCCUACCGAGUUCCCUCCCUCCUUUUGCCUCGUAUUUCAUUCCUCCUUCUAAGUGAGAUUCGAACAUCUUCACUUGGGUUUUCCCUCUUGUUUAGCUUUGGGUGUGUGGAGUGGAGUGUGGAUAUCCUGUAUUUUAUGGCUAAUAUUCACUUAUAAGUAAGUACAUAUCAUGUAUGUCUUUUUUGGGAUGGGUUACCUCAGGGUGAUAUUCUCAAGUUCCAUCCAUUUGUGGGGCAAGUCUUUUAAUGUUGCUUGGAGAAGGAGAACUUUCUGAGUUUGACAAAACUUAUGUAUCGUAGGCCCUUCAUAAAUAGCAAUGUGUACUUUUCAAAUAAAUGCUAAAAAGCUUUGUGAAGCCAGUCACUGUCUUAUUUAGGUUGUCUCCAGUGUUUGACAACACAUCUAGCACCUAGCAGGUAGUUAGUAUGAAUUGAGUGAAGUGUAUACUUGAGAUAACUUGGCCAGUAGACUGUAAAUUCUAGAGUUAUUUCAAGGUAGCUCUUUUUUCCCUCCUUUAUGUGAUGGACAUGUCAAUCGCCUUCAUGGUCUUGCUGUCUUGACACUUAAUUUGCCUUGGCUCUGCUCUGCUCCUUGUAAGGUAAACAAAUCUAGUUACUUCCCGCCUCUUCGUUUAUCACUGUGACAGUACGAGGCCAAGAUUGUUUAUUUUAGGAUGACACACUGUGAGUCCAAAAACCAAUCACUUAUUCCAUGCAUCACCAUUUCAGUGGGCUUAAUUAUGCUUAAUCAAUAACAAUGAUUUCUGGAGGAUGUGCCCUGUUUAUCUGUCUGGAGUUUGUCUCCUUCCUCAGCUCAUGUUUUAACUCAGUGUUAGUCAAAGCCUUGUUGGUUUUCCUUAGAGGUUACAGAGGAAGGGGCUGUUGGGCCGUUCUUCUUUUUGGCACCCAGGUGGGAUGAAGUGAGUCAUAAUGACUAUCUAGUAAGCUUCAGGUACUGCCAGUUUGUGGGAUGUGCCCUGAACAGUACCCUUCAGCCUGUGGUCUGAUACAACUUUCACCUGACACAUUGCAUAUGACUGCAUCUUUGAUCAUACUGGACCCUCUUCCACAGCCUUUUAGUUACUGGACUCCUCUACUCAUCUUUGGUCCCCAAUUCAGUGUUGUGCCCCCAGCUCCCUCUCUGUUCUUCCUCCUACUCCUAAAACAAUAACCCAUACCAGUUAGUUAUAGUCUUUUCCUCUUCACUUAAACACAGCUGGGCUCCUGUUCUUACUGUAUUACAAUCUGUUAGUGUAUCUUUCUCUGAUUACAUUUUUCACCCACUUAGGCCAGAGACUGUUUUUUGCUCAAGCCUGGAGUCUUCACUAGGAGAGUAUUAGAUGCAAAGAUGAUUUUAAAAUAUAUUUGCUCUCGGUUAAAUUACUACUCACAUUUCUUUCUUCCUUCGCUUAAACUGUAAUUGCACUGCAGAUCCAUUCUAAAGGUGUUCAAGUUUCCAUUAAAACUGAUAUACGCCAGAUGGCUCGUGAAGAUUAUAGUUUAAUUCUCAAUGGGGAUGUUGGUGGUUUGGGUAAUGGUGAUACACAACAAGGAUUUCAAGGAGGAUUAGCAAAGCCUAACAAUUACAACUCUUUCAAACAAUCAUCAUCUGCAGGGACUCUCAUCGGACCAUAGUCAUUAGCAACAAAAUCACACCAUUAUACUCUUCAAAUAGGAAGGAUGCUGCCUGCAGGUAAUGACAGGAAGCUGGACCAUGGCUAUUGUUCACCUCAGUUACAUUUCAGGUCAUCAAUAAUCAAGCUCUCUAAAUCAGCUUAUGAAUCAUGGAAAGUUAAGAAGAAUAAGAAACAGCAGAAUGUCUCAGGGGUGCCACAAGUAUGUGAAGCUCCUUCUGCUUCCUCGAGCUGGCCUAUGAAGGAGCUCAGUGUACGGCCAUAAAGAAGACGGAUGCUUCCCUCAAACAAUUUCAUUUGUUGGGUUGAAAUUUCUCAUUAAGAAUUAGCAUUUCUGGACUGACACUGGGAAGGGUUAUUGGGAGCUGGGGGACAAUCAUGUAUAUUAGUUUUACAAAAUCAUUUAGCCCUUCUUACCAGGAUGAGCCACUAGAUAUUAUAAGCCUGUGAUUGAAGAGAGUGUUUGCUCAAGUCUGAUGACUGAACAUUGCCAGCAAAGAUUCUUUGCACCUGGGUAGUAUAGCAUCCCCAACCUCCACAGUCAAGAAUGCUACUCAUUUGCUCUCCAUCCAAAACUCUACCUCAGAGGCUGAGUAUGGAGCUCCAUUCCACUGAGUACUCAAAGGAGUACCCAAGCUAGAGUUAUCAGCUAGUAGCCUAGCAGUGUCUGAGUCUAUGCAGGUUCAAAGGGCACUGGUCUUUCGGUGGCUAUUGUUCUGCACAACAGAAAGAGUGGAGAUGAGUCCCAUAUGCAGGCGAGCCACUCACCUGAGUUAGCUCCACAGUGAACUUACGUGGCUUUGGGAAAUUGAUGGAAACAUUAGACUCAAAGUCUGCACUGGAAGAAAGUUUUGUGGUAAUUGUACAGAGGAAACUACACAGCAAAAUCACCACAAAGUGGAUCAGAUCCAAAUACCAUCUCAUUUUUGUGGGCCACUCAGUUCUAUGGUCCUUUUGUUUUUCAUACAUGAUCUUCCUUGUUUGCGCACAUAUUACCUCUGUCCCUCCAGAUUGUAUUUGGUUUUACAGCCUUCCUUGACAAGCUGCUAACUUCUACUUUCUCAUGACAUUAGCUAAACACAGCUUUCACUUAAUUUCUUCUUAUUUCCAAACUUGCAAAUCAACCGUCACUGAUUUUCUUCCAGUGGUAGUAAUGCCAUGUGUUCCCAUCUACAAUUCACAAAAGCUUCUCUUCUUAACAAUCCCUUGCAACAGACGGAGCUGUCAAUUUCUUUCUUUAAUCUUAGUUGUUCUACCAGAUGUGCACUUGAAAAAAUUUGUAUGUUUUUAUAGGGAGAUACAUGACUUCCGAUACAUUUUCCUAUGUAUCAUGUAUAAAGAUUAAUCCAAGUUUCUUUACAGAACAUGAUUCCUGAGGGCAUAUUUUUCUGCUUAGAUAAAGAAACUCUUAACUUUCUAAUAGAAAAAGUAUUGUGGAGCUUUUGGGGGACCUGGAGUGUACGGAACAACAUUGUUGGUAGUGCCUAGGAGCUUGGAAAGGUAAUCCCAGCCCAUAACUCAGACAGCAAAAUACUGAACUACUUUAUAACAAAAUGCCAAGGUGAACUUGACUGUUAAGUAAAAUGAGCAUUUUUCCAGGAUGAUAAGUGUACAGGUUCAUAAAAGUGGAUGAGUGUUCUUUUCCAGACAGGUCUGAGAUUGCUGCGUAUGACUGUCUGGGAGAGACACUGUUGCUAGCCCUUUCAGGCCACUCAUUCUAAACAGAUGACAGUUUGCUCUGGGUUAUGUAAUUUAGAAAGCCAGAAACAUGAAAAUAGGCCAUUGUUUAUUGCACAUGAGUCUAAAAUAAUACAAACAAACCACCUGUGAAAUUCUACUUUCAUGCACAACUGUACAUAAAAGAGAAAAAAAUUGUAUCUGAUAUGAUGAGGCAGGGAGACAGAACCUUGCCUGAGAGGCUGGUAAGUGUCUCACAUUAAUGGGAAUCACUUGACCUAAAACCCAGCCUCCAGAUGAUCUCACAGCUGGGAACUUCUAACCAUAUAAUGGAACUCAAUUGCUACAUGAUGAAGUGUAUACAACCUUGGGACCAAGCCUUGAGCUCAACAUUGUAAUGUGAGCUCCUGGCUAUCAAGGUCAGGCAGUACCUAGAUCUUCCACUGCUGAGAUGGGAUGUGCAAGUUAGUCCUGGUUCUUUCUCCCACUCCUCUGCUCCUAGAAAUAAGGCUUAGACUCAAAAUACACUUAGGAAUACCUUGGCCAUAUAGCUAGGCUCUUCUCUGACUAGAUCAUAACGUAAAUUAGCCCAUUUAUUCUAAUCUACAUUCUGCCAAGUGACUGGCUACCUGUGUAAAGUACCAUAGAUCAGUCUUGUCACAUCUUCCUGGGCAAACUUCCCAUGCCUAUAUGUAUCCUAGAAUUCUUACUAGCGUCUGAAUGUCCCACUUUUUCCUAUAGGCCAUAGGUGUUUAAAUUGACAGGCGAAACAUCUAUCCGAUACACAAGGUGUUCUCUCUACAAUUGAAGAGGAAACUUUUCAAUGAACAGAGGCCCAUAAAGGAUUCUCUCAUCAUCCCCAUAUUGUAAGACAUCGCAAAUGAUUCCACUUUCAAUGAGAGAGGCAAUGACCCAAUUACCUGUGGGAGGAGAUGACUACAAGAUCUCAUCUGCCUCGACUGUGCUGGUGUCAUGACUUUGGACUUGUCAGCCUCAGAACUGUGAGCAACAUACCCCUUCUUCUCAUGAGUUCUUGGUCUCAGGCAUUUUGUAGCCUGAAUAGAUGAGACAGAAGCAAAGCCAUGCCAUUGCCACUCAAUGUGUGGCAGCCAUUUCACACUUGAAACUUGUUAGCCAUGCAGAAUAUUAGCUUUCACCUCAAAUCUGCCAAAGUCAGAGUCAGCAAUUUUAUAGCAUACCCAAGAAUUUUAGUCACUUGAAGACUGACAUCACUCUUACAGAAGGAAAUGCAAUCAGGGGACACACCCCCAGGCUAUUUUCAUGGUGAUGAUUUCUACUUCUACCCCCUGGGAGUUCUACUGAGGGCCAGUGAUGCACACAGAAAAUACUUUCUGCUAGAGGUACAAGAUGACAGAAAACAUGUGCACUGCUAGAUAGGCACAGUAUAACUACUAACUGGAGGUUGGCUACUGAGCUAGAAGAUUCAGCUCUCCUCCUGGGCAAUGGGGCUGUUGAUGCCUCCUUAGAUUAUCUAACAGGAUGUAUGUGUAUAUGAGAAUAAAUGAUGACCACACAAUGUCUGCUACAUGGUACAUACCUGAUUAAUACAGUCAUCACAUUGUUAGUGCUAUCAUGUGACAUGCUGUUUGCUAAUAAUCACAUGCCUACUUUUUGUUUUAUAAUAUCUUUUUGCAUGUUAUGAUACUUUUUUAUCUAAAUAAAUUCUGUACUGGAAGCCAAAGGUAGAAAGAUUGCCAUAAGUGGGGAGACAGCUACAUAGUGAGUUCAUGAUCCCAAGUCUCAUAAAACCAGCAAUAAUAGUAAUAAAAGUAAGUGUAUAUAUGUCAUAUCAUCAUGUUAUACCUCAUAAAAUAUAAUUCAUAUUUUUCAAAAUUUUACUAAAAUAAUGUAUGCAAAUAUUUCCUUUAUAGUUUAUAAAACAUGGUCAUUUAAACCUCUGGUUCACAUAAGAGAAAACGGGUCUUGCUCACUGUUUCCUCUCUAGAAAUGGGUAUAUAUUCAUUGUACACAGGGAUGAUUUUCUAAGCAUAUUUUCAACUACAUAUUUUAUAUCUCUUGUAGUUUGGCCGUAUUGUAUGUUUGGCCUUUUCCUAUUUUUUCCUCUCCCUCCUUUUUAAGUGUUGUGUGUGUGUCUGUGUGUCUCUCUCUGUCUCUCUCUGUCUCUCUCUCUCUGUCUGUCUGUCUGUCUCUCUCUCUCUCUCUCUCUCUCUCUCUCUCUGUGUGUGUGUGUGUGUAUGUAUAUAUGAUUCUGAUUUCAUAUAUCUCUAUAAAAUCUAGGAUCCAUGCUUUAGAGAAAGCAAGUGAUAUUGGUAUUUCCGGGUCUGGUUUACUUGACCUUUCAUAGUUCAAAUUCUUCAGAGAAAGGUGCCAAACUCCUGUGCUGUCUGAGUCUUUGUGGGUAGGUGUCCCACUUCCCAUCUCUGCCUUGCCUUGAGGGUUCCGAAGACCUCAGAUUGUACCCAUCUCCAACCUCCCUAGGUCUCCACUACAUCGGCUUUCUAGAGCUGCUGAAACAAAUCUGCGGGCCAGUUUUGGUGGACCCCCUCUAUUUCCUCCUGCCAAACCUUCUACACUGACCCAUCUGUGCUUAGCUCCUUCACUAAUUUACAGAGUUUCUCAAUGUCAUGCCUUGGUUUCUUAUUUUAAGGGCUCAGCUCUAUGCUUUAAAGGAAGAUAGGGAUGGGUAUGGAGUGACAGAUUCUCGGUGAACCCUGGUUUGUUCCUUUAGUAGCAGGGUGUUCUAAAUGGGAGCUGAAAUCCCAUUUUCAGUGUCCAGCAGAGUACAGACCAGGAGAAAUGCUCUGCAAAGACAUUUCGGAAGGAUUUAAUUCUUUUUCUGAGCUUACUGCGUGAUAUGCUGGAUGGCCUGAGACAGUACCAGCCCUGGCCUCAGAGCACCUUCUCUGGAGGGAGUUGGUAUGGAGUGAACAUCCUAGCUCCUUAAAAAGCAGUAAGAAAUGUACUUAGGAACAAAAUGGGAACAAUGAACAGCCCCAAUAGAUGGUCCAGAUUUUAAUGUAGUACCUUACAUAUUAAAUAUUAAAAGGGACCAUUUGUAUUUGUCGACACACAGUAAAUGUACGCAUACAUUACUGAUCAACACAAUUAAGUAAGUAAUUAAGUGAACUAGAAAUGUUUUCAAAGGAACUGUAAAGCAGUUGGUAGUCUGGCCAUUCAUCUCAGGGAGGCAAUGAAAGAUCAGUUAAUUUGUUCUGUGUGAACCCAGGCCGGCUUCUGAUUGACCACUUUAAGGGCCGAUGGGGCACUCAAAUGCAUGAUAGGGGCCAGGCAUACUGCAUGAGACUUCUGUUGCACUGCAGUGGUCAGCUUCCUGCCCUUUGCUUGGGGACCCAAGAGUGAAGGCUGCCCUUGACCUUCCUUAUGGGCAUGAUGGCAAAUCACAGAAGCCACCCAGCUUGGUGUGAGAGAGUCUCCAAUUCCCUCACUCAGCUUAGUCAUGUCCAUUCACAAGAGGCACAUUAGAGUAUCCCAGGUCGGGCAAGGGAUCGGGAACCAUAGGAAAAGCAGCAUUCCUCCUGUCCUUUCACACCCUUGGAAGGCAGGCCUGUUGUAACAUCCUGUGGUCCUGCUUGCUUCGUUAGGACUUCGGAGAAGGGAAGGUGAUCUGAAGUGGGAAAGAUGAACAUUUGUUACCUCUACACUGGUAUGCUCAUUGGAACUUUAAGGAGGUCAGGGCCAUAUUCGUGAUUCAGAUCAAAAUGGAAAUGACCACAGUGACACAAGUAAAUACCCAGUCAACCAUCUUGCUAAUGCAUGACACAUGACCAAUUGGCAGCCAGGCCCCCAGUCAGCAUGAGUCCUAAGGAUCUUGAGAUACUUAUUAAAUCUUCUGGAAGAUGGUCUGAGUCAUCUGAUUCCACUUUGAACUUCCUAAGCAUCAACUGGCGACCCCAUUCCCUUAUUUUGGCCAUUUGUUUUUCCUGUGGGAGUAACAUGGGCUUUUUGUCUGUUUGUUUGUUCAUUUUUUGUUUGUUUGUUCGUUUUUUGUUUUUUGUUUUUGUUGAGAGUACAAUAGAAUGACUGAACCGGGUACUUGACAAACUGAGCAUUCUGGGAUCACUGCCAAUCUCAGUACAUUUUUAAGUUUAUUCCCCCAAACCCUUAGGAUAUAAAACAAUUAUAAAGAAGAGCCUCAGGAAACACUUGCUGCCCUGAAUACAGAUAAAUAGAGCACUAUUGUCCAUCUCUGGGAGCCAGAAUGUGAAGUAUUUCAAUGGAAUCCUUCCCCUAAAUGACUUGGCAGUGCUGAAAUUUGUUCAUGCUACAAACUGAUAAAAAUCCAGGAGUCAAAUAAAUCUGGUGUUUCAGACCUGCUGGUUCGACUUCUGCAAAGUGGAGUGCUGGUGGGUGGGCAGUGCUCUCAUUACCUACCCAACUCCCUGGGAGUUGUUUUAAAGGUACAAGUACAACUGGUCUACUUGGGAUGACCACUCCUUUCCUUUCUGCUAACAUUUCUUCCCUAAAUAGGAUUCUGUCCAUCAUCUCUUUGUUUCCUUCAAACAAUGGCCUCAGUUUCCUUUUGUAUCAGAUAAGCUUGGCAGAAACUUACAAAGGUUUCCUGUAAAUCCACCCAUGAUCUACAUGUAUUACACACACACACAUACACACACUUGAGCCUGUCCUCUUAUCAUUCCUUACUUAUCCAAGAGGAUUCAAUGGUGUAGGGAAGAGGACUCAGAUUCAGGCUCUGACAGCCUCUCCUUUCAUUCUCUGGGGACCAUACUAUGCUGUGAAGAAAGUGGUCCAGUAGAGGGAGGGGAUGAAUGGAGUCAGGAGCACAUACAAAACAGAGUCACAUGGGGAGGUGCCCAUGAAGAGCUGCCAUGCAGAGAAAGCAGUUGUUCACAAAGAAGAACCAUAUGACAACCUAUGGAAAGCUCGGCCGUGUGAGUGAAGUCAUGGAUUUGUCAGUCGGUGAUAACCAAUCAUUUUCUAUCCUGACAAUUUCUGAUAACAUUUUACUCUCUGAGUUCACCCCCAAUUCCUGACCCAUGGGAUCUCAAUCAAUGAAAGCUAAUGUUAUGUUUCUCAAUUAUUAAGACCUUUGAAAACCAGACAAAAUGUAUCUGGUUGUCUAGACAUGGACAAGUUCAUCCAAACAUGUCAGUAGUAACUGUGUAUUAGCAUAAUUAAUAUUUUAUGCCAGCAUUACUUUAGGCUGUCUGGAACGUUGUAUGUGCAACAUCUCAGUACUGCAUGCAGGGAAGAAAGAAGUGAGAGGCAUAUAUAUUAAUAAUGCCAAUUAAUUAUAGGUAAAUAAUGCAUUAUGAAGGUUAAUUUGUGGUGCCCCAGUUAUGGGUUGGCUAGUAACCCUCUGUGACAAUAAGAAGUCUGAAUAAGAGAUCAAGUGUGCCACUACAUGAAAAGUCUGCAUCAUGACUGGCCAGAAGCCAACACACUUUCCAAUACAGAAUACAUACUCGGUUUUUUUAAUGGCUCCCUUGCAGGUAGAGAAACAUUCACAAAUAGACAUUGUGGUGAGAGAGUCGGCAAGCAGAGGGUGCAUUUCAAGAGUCCUGGCUUCCAAACUCCACUAAGAAACUCCACACUGUUCUUGCUCACCUGCACCUUAGGCAUCCUAAACAGAGUCAGGGCUGCAUUGCAUUGACCAUGAAAUAUGCAGCCGUCUAGGCUUAGGCCAUUGUCUGGACUCCAGUCUCCAUAGCAGGUGCAUAAGGUCCAAUUCCUGGCAGGAGCGCAACAAGACCAGAGGAACCACUUGAUAGAUUUGCACCAACAAGUCUGUAUUGGUAGCCUCUCAACAUAACUGAAGCAGGUAGGAAAAUUAACACAAAGAGAUGAGUUAUUCUUCAAUGUACAGGAUCAAUGCUAGCCACUGAAAAGGGUUGGGGCCUUCCCCCUGGAAAAGCUUGUUUCUGCCUGUGUUUGAUAGAUUCCCAUGUCACUUUCCUUUCUCUGCCCUGUUUGUUAAAUUUAAGAAAUACCUAUAGUAACAUUGCAGUAUGAAAACAAUUACCACAAUGUCAGUGACUUUUUAUAAUCAAGGUUUCAUGGUUUAUUCAAUGCCAGAGGACAUCUGUGCCUAAGACUUCAUCUCCUUGUAUUUGAAUGACUUUAUCUUGUAAAAUCCAUACCACUAACUUUGUAUUUUUCUAUUUCUUAGUAAAAGCAGCAAUCCAGUUUUAACUGCCCCCCUUACCCUGAAUAAAUGUUUAUAUAUAUUUUUAAAC